UGAGGAGCUUGCUCUUCAGAUCGAGUGGCGAACGGGUGAGUAACGCGUGAGUAACCUGCCCUGGAGUGGGGGACAACAGUUGGAAACGACUGCUAAUACCGCAUAAGCCCACGGCUCGGCAUCGAGCAGAGGGAAAAGGAGCAAUCCGCUUUGAGAUGGCCUCGCGUCCGAUUAGCUAGUUGGUGAGGUAACGGCCCACCAAGCCGACGAUCGGUAGCCGACCUGAGAGGGUGAUCGGCCACAUUGGGACUAAGACACGGCCCAAACUCC
rnacentral:rRNA from 1 species